UACGGAGGGUGCGAGCGUUGUCCGGAAUCAUUGGGCGUAAAGGGCGCGUAGGUGGCCACUUCAAGCGUGCGGUGAAAGUCGGGGGCUCAACCCCUGAUCGGCCGUGCGAACUGGGGGGCUGGAGCACUGUAGAGGCAGGCGGAAUUCCGGGUGUGAGCGGUGAAAUGCGUAGAUAUCGGGAGGAACACCUGUGGCGAAAGCGGCUCACUGGACCAUACUGACGCUGAUGCACGAAAGCUGGGGGAGCAAACAGG
rnacentral:rRNA from 1 species